rnacentral:rRNA from 3 species
GUAGCGCGGUGGACCCACCUGACCCCAUGCCGAACUCAGAAGUGAAACGCCGUAGCGCCGAUGGUAGUGUGGGGUCUCCCCAUGCGAGAGUAGGGAACUGCCAGGC